AAAGUAGCUUGCUACUCGAGCUUAGUGGCGGAAGGGUUAGUAAUACAUGGGUAACCUACCUCUAACUUGGGAAUAACGGCUGGAAACGGCCGCUAAUACCGAAUGUGGUGGGAAGUGGCAUCACUUCUUCAUUAAAGUGGGGGAUCGUAAGACCUCGCGGUUAGAGAGGGGCCCAUGGGAUAUCAGCUUGUUGGUAAGGUAACGGCUUACCAAGGCUAAGACGUCUAGGCGGAUUGAGAGAUUGACCGCCAACACUGGGACUGAGACACUGCCCAGACUCCUACGGGAGGCUGCAGUCGAGAAUCAUUCGCAAUGGGCGAAAGCCUGACGAUGCGACGCUGCGUGAGUGACGAAGGCCCUCGGGUCGUAAAACUCUUUCGCCAGGGAAUAAGGGAGGAUGGCUAACAUCCAUCCGACUUGAAUGUACCUGGUAAAGAAGCACCGGCUAACUCCGUGCCAGCAGCUGCGGUAAUACGGAGGGUGCAAGCAUUAAUCGGAUUUAUUGGGCGUAAAGGGGGCGCAGGCGGGAAAGCCAGUCAGAUGUGAAAUUCCGGGGCUCAACCUCGGAGCUGCAUUUGAAACUACUUUUCUUGAGGAUAGGCGGAGAAAACGGAAUUCCACAAGUAGCGGUGAAAUGCGUAGAUAUGUGGAAGAACACCCGUGGCGAAAGCGGUUUUCUAGCUUAUUCCUGACGCUGAGGCCCGAAAGCUAGGGGAGCGAACAGGAUUAGAUACCCUGGUAGUCCUAGCCGUAAACGAUGUGUACUUGGUGUAGCUAGUCUCAACCCCAGCUGUGCCGGAGCUAACGCGUUAAGUAUGCCGCCUGGGGAGUACGCCCGCAAGGGUGAAACUCAAAAGAAUUGACGGGGGCCCGCACAAGCAGUGGAGCAUGUGGUUUAAUUCGAUGCUACGCGAAGAACCUUACCCAGGCUUGACAUGCAGAGGACCGCUCCAGAGACGGAGCUUCCCUUCGGGGCCUUUGCACAGGUGCUGCAUGGCUGUCGUCAGCUCGUGCCGUGAGGUGUUGGGUUAAGUCCCGCAACGAGCGCAACCCUUAUCAUUAGUUGCCAGCAUUUCGGAUGGGGACUCUAAUGAGACUGCCUAGGUUAACUAGGAGGAAGGUGAGGAUGACGUCAAGUCCGCAUGGCCCUUAUGUCUGGGGCUACACACGUGCUACAAUGGCCGGUACGAGGGCAAGCAAAACCGCGAGGUCAAGCAAAUCCCAGAAAGCCGGUCCCAGUUCGGAUUGUAGUCUGCAACUCGACUACAUGAAGUUGGAAUUGCUAGUAAUGGCGUGUCAGCUAUAACGCCGUGAAUCGUUCCCGGGUCUUGUACACACCGCCCGUCACAUCAUGGAAGUUGGUCUUACCCGACGUCGCUGACUCAACCGCAAGGAGAGAAGCGCCUAAGGUGAGG
rnacentral:rRNA from 1 species